rnacentral:tRNA from 1 species
CAAAGGGUAGUUUAAUUGAAA